rnacentral:rRNA from 1 species
GAGUCGGACCUGCCCGGUGACCUACGGGUUAAACGGCCGCGGUACACUGACCGUGCAAAGGUAGCACAAUCACUUGCCUUUUAAUUGGAGGCUGGUAUGAAUGGUUUGACGAGGGCUGAGCUGUCUCUUUUGGAAUAUUUAAAAAUUAACUUCUAGGUGAAAAGGCCUAGAUUGAGCUGAGGGACGAGAAGACCCUGUUGAGCUUUAGUGUUGAAUAAAGGUUUAUAUUUCCUAGUUGAAUUUAGAGGUUUAAGUUUAUUCUUACAUCUUUAGUUGGGGUGACUGGGGAACAAAAGUAGCUUCUCUACUUAUUACUGGGUUUGGCUUGCUAGCUAAUGAUCCAGCAUUGCUGAUUAUUGGAAAAAGUUACCACAGGGAUAACAGCGUAAUCUUUUUGGAGAGUUCAUAUUGAAAAAAGGGUUUGCGACCUCGAUGUUGGAUUAAGGUGUCCUAAGGGUGUAGCAGCUCUUGUUGGUUGUCUGUUCGACCAUUAAAACCUU